AACGAACGCUGGCGGCAUGCCUAACACAUGCAAGUCGAACGAGACCUUCGGGUCUAGUGGCGCACGGGUGCGUAACGCGUGGGAACCUGCCUUUAGGUUCGGAAUAACUCAGAGAAAUUUGAGCUAAUACCGGAUGAUGUCUUCGGACCAAAGAUUUAUCGCCUUUAGAUGGGCCCGCGUUGGAUUAGCUAGUUGGUGGGGUAAAGGCCUACCAAGGCGACGAUCCAUAGCUGGUCUGAGAGGAUGAUCAGCCACACUGGGACUGAGACACGGCCCAGACUCCUACGGGAGGAAGCAGUGGGGAAUAUUGGAAAAUGGGCGAAAGCCUGAUCCAGCAAUGCCGCGUGAGUGAUGAAGGCCUUAGGGUUGUAAAGCUCUUUUACCCGAGAUGAUAAUGACAGUAUCGGGAGAAUAAGCUCCGGCUAACUCCGUG
rnacentral:rRNA from 1 species